GACCGGAUUCUUUUCCUUUUGCCGAGACAGAUUCCGGCGGGAGCUCCGGAGCUGCUCCCUUGCUCGGCCCUUCCCCGCCAAGAAACGUAUGAAGGGCCAGGGCGCUUUCCUCCUGACGGCACCGGACGCAAGGAGACAGUCGUUCUCCAGCGCGCUUGGGGAGACCUCGGCCCGCCGGCUGGCUGCGAAACACGAAAGGGACUCCAUCUCAGCGCCGCGCAGGAAGACUCCCGUCCUGGGACGACGGUGACAAGGCGGCUUCCCGCGUUUAGGCCAAAGAUCAUCCGGACAAACUCGAACGACCAGGCCGGGCCCGGCAUCUAGUGCGACACGGGCUCUCGCCUCUCACCUCGGUUUCGGGUAGCGAUGUGUCGCCCGCCAAGAUGUUUGUCCCAGGCCGGCCGCGGAAAGUUAAAUGCAGCUGUCACUCUGCCUGGACUCGCUCGCUUCUCCAGGCCGGAGCCUUUCAUCCCCGCGUGCAGUGAUAGAUGGGCAGUUUACACGAGCGAUUAGGAACGGGCGGAGGCCACCGCCACACUGGGAAUGGGGAGGGGGAGUGUCGCCUAGAUGACAACUUUCCUGCACGGACAAAUUCCACAGCCCAGCUCCAGCUGCCGUGUGGCGGGAAUGGCGGAAAUGUGUGGGGAUUUUUGGCCUGCUGUGCCCGAGGUGGCCCCGCGAGAUGCCUUGAUCGAGGGGGGCAACCGCAGAUCCGCUCAGUGGGACUGACGGCCCUUGGGCAUCCUGGGGCCAACGGUUUUGCCCAAUCCCGGACAAAGGGCAGAAUGGAGUUACCCUCCCCCACCCUCCUCCUCCUUGUUUUUCCUCCUCUUCGUGACCCAUCUUCGGGCGGGGAAAUGGCGGUGGGGUUCGGCUCUGGCUGGAGAGGCAGCCCUCCUCCCCCUCCCCUGUCAACUUAGGCCAGGUCAGGGCCUCGGAAUGCGACAAAUAUUUCUGACGCUGAAGCGAGGCUAAUCCCGAACCGCCCGACGGAUCGCAUCUAUCUUCCUUCUUGCCAGGCAUCGUCAUCGGCAAAGUUCGAGCACUGCCUCGCAGCCCAUGACCGUCGGGUGAGAAGUGGGGGUGUUAGCCAGUCCUCUCCCACUGGCGCUUAUUCCAGCUUGAUGGAGCAAAGGAGGGCUGGCGCCCCAGCCAAGCCCCAGAGGGCGCGGGGAUUGGACCCGGCCGAGCUGACGCCCCACGCGUCCUGGAGGAGGCCAACGGGGCAGGAGACCAGGGCCAGAGGCGCAAAGCUGUUGUGCCCCCCCUCGGCCCGGCCGCCCCUCGCGGGACCUGCGGAAAGAGGCGCUCUGGAGACUAGUGCUGUCGGGGAUACAGUUGCCUGGCCGUUUCAGAGCAGCGCUGCAGGAGGAGGGGGUUGAAUGCUUGGCCGCCCAUUGCCCAGGCCGCCCCCAGUGCCCCACUGCCAAUUUCGAGAGGCCGCCCCCCCCCCCCCCCCCAAGGAAGAAAAGGGUCCUGGGUAGGACAGAGUAUCCUUUUCGUGUCACACCGCGUGUUUCUAUAGGAUCAGCAGUUUCCAAUGUAGUCCCUUUAUGAGCUAUUGGAAGGUUGGCCUGAGUCCGGUCGUCUGUAACGUCCAUCGCUCCUGCAAGGCAGAAGUUGCUGCCACGGUUUGCGUGGACUCCCUCGUGGAACAAGCUUUGCUGCCCCGUUCUGGAAUAAAGGUUUAGAUUUCAAGAGCAAGAGGGGAUCUUCACGAGCUCCUGCAGUUGCUCCCAUCCCUCCCAUAACAGGCCAUGUUAGCCAGGCUGCUGGUAAGUAGCCUCCAGGUUUAUUGUCUAUUUAUUAAAAUUAUAUGAUACCCACCCCACUAUCAAGCGAGUCUGGGUGUCAAGUAACGAUCCAGUUGAAUUUGUUGCAAUCUGCUCUUAGAUCGUCUGCAACUCCCAAAAGACCCAGCCAAAGACGGCGCAUUUGUGGAGAUGCCACACCACUCCUGCCCCAUUUAGUGGCUGGUUGUUGUUUUCCACGUUUUCCUGUGCAAAGAAGGAAGUUCCCAAGAAGGAAGUGGGUCAGGAGGAGGCUCGGAAGGAGGGCUUCAGUGCAAUCCCGAGCAGAGCAGAGGUGUUGGGCUCUUGAAGGCAGCCAACCUCACUUUGUGUCAUGGAGUAGGAGGAGGAUUUUGCUGUGGCCUUUUCUUCCCGCAUUCCUUCCAUAUUUUAUAAACUCAAUGUACUUAACUGACCAGCUAUUGUAGUGGGAUGGUAUAUAACUUUGCUAAAGAAAUGAAGUUAUGGGCACAGUCUCAAAACACACCUAAUUUAUUUAAUGUGGCCAAUUACGAAAACAAUUAAGCAGAGACCACUGAUGUGCUCUCGGGAUGCUCCUUAUUACCGCAGCAUUUAUUUGUCAUGUUUUUGGGGAGAGGGGGGGCACAUAUUUAUAAUUGGACUCUGAGUAGCCAGUGCUUUGUUUUUGCCAGAAGCCUCCUGGGAUCUAUGCAGCCAAGAGACCUUCUCAGAAAUCAGGGACGGCCAAGCUUGUAUUGGCCAAGAACCAGGCGCUGUUAUUCUUAAAUCGCUGGGGAGACAAAAUAAUCAAGCAGCAGUCCUCUGUGGGGCACGAAUUUAUUUGUCAAAAUAUAAGAAGUGCUGCUAUUAAAAUAACGCAGACUUGCAAUAUUUACAUCAACUAAGAAGGACUCAACAUAAUUUAAAAAUUCACUAGAAAAAAUAUAACGGUAACUUAAAUCCUAACAAACCAUGUUACAGAUUAAGUGGUUAAGAUAAUGGUUAAAGCACCAGGCUAAAAACCAGGAGACAGUGAGUUCUAGUCCUGCCUUAGACAUGAAAGCCCACUGGGUGACUUAGCCCAGUCCACUUCUCAAGGCUGUUGUUGUGGUGAAAAUAGAAGAAGGAAGGAGUAUUAGGUAUGUUCUCUGUCUCAAGUUAUUUAUAAAAAAUAAUAAAGGUAGGAUAAAAAUAAACAAGUAAUCCUGAACUGUGAACCACAAAAAACUGACUGGCUUCGGCAACAUGUUCUUGCACUGUAGUCCCUCUGGACUAACUAACUCUUCCUUCUUCCAGAAAGUAACACCUGAUGGGGUUGCAACCUGCUCCUGGAGGAAGCCAUUCCAUCCGUGGAGUAGCUGCUGCUCCCCAGGAAGGAGACUUUUUCACAGAAUUCAGAAGUUCAGAGUUCAGGAAGACUAUCCCUGCCCAAUGGGGUAGCUGAUUCUUGCUGGAGGAGCCGGUCUCCUGCUUGAGGCGGGGGUG